rnacentral:lncRNA from 13 species
AUGGAAGCCACCACGGCUUCUCCGAAGCUCGCCGCUUCUGGACGCCGCCACUUCUGUUCGCUGGGACGCGGCCUCCGCUUUUGCCGGCUGGGACCGCGCGGUCGCUUCUGCUCGCUGCGACGUCGACUGCGCUUCUGCCCACUAGGACUAAGCCCCAGACUCUGGCCGCCGCUUUCGCUCGCUCCGACCACAUCGCCGCAGCUUCCGUUCGCUUCAACCACGCCGCGGCUUCUGCCGGGGCCCCGCGGAAAGCGCCGUCUCGGCUUCCGUAGAGGCGCGCACGCCGGCAGCGUCCCUAGCGACUGGCUGAAGCACCACACCUUCUUAAAGGGGCCGCGGCUCGGACUGCACAGAAGCAGCUUCGCGUUGCGGCACAGGCUGAGCCUCUGCCCAGCCCCAGCGGUGGACGAAAGCUAACCUGCCCCCCACAUGUGGCCAGGCACCUGCCUAUGGGGCUUCAUCUAUGCAGCCUCUGCAAACCACAGCAGUCUGACGGUCAGGGUGUGGUUGAGAAAUGUUGCUACAAGGGGGAAAAGGUCGAAAAGAGCAGGAAGCCAAAAAGCUCGAAGGCUGGUCAUUCCACGUGGUACCCCAUCCAAGCAUCUGUUAGGCCCAACCCUGCUUAGCUCCUGGGCUGGGGGUCCUCAGUCUACUAUGGUGAUGGGAGGCUGCUGGAACAACUCCCCACGGAGAAGUUGCAGUUCAAGGUGGGGGCACUGGCGGGAGGAAAUGGGAGAUUAGGGAGUCAGAGGGCAGUUGGAAACCGUUGUCAAAAGUGAAGGAAAGCAGGAAGUUAGCAGGAGUCCAAAAGUCUCCAGCCACCGGACUCCCAAGGUGGUCCCUCAUGCCCUACUCUGCUCAGCUUGCAUGCUGGGGCACCCUCAGGCUGCUAUGCCAACUGGAGUUAGCUGGGAUGGACUCCCACGGGGAGGUCUGAGUAUGCGUUGGGCGUGAUAUGGUGUCCAGAGAGUCCAGGGGUGGUUAAGGAGUGUUUCAAUAAGAGGAGGAAAGUGGGAAAAGAACGGGAAGCCAAAAGCCUCCAGCCCUGAUCUCCCCAGGUGGUUCCCCAUCCAAGCUUCAGUUAAGCCAAACCCUGCUCAGUUUCCAGGAUGAGCCACCCUCAGGCUGCAGGGGCCCACGGAGUCUGCCAGUAUAAACCACUACAAAGAGGUACCAGGCUGCAGUGAAAACACCGGCAGGUGGGGGCCAGGAAGCUAAGCAAGGACCAGCCUGGCAGGGACUUGGAUGGGGGACCGCCUGGAAACACGGGGGGCUGGAGGCUUUUGCCUUUUCAUCUUCGUCAAGCUUUUCCCUCUUGUCCCAACACUUUGCCUCUUGCCUAUACCCACACCAAGACCUUGGACCUCCCCAGGUGGGUUUGUCUCAGCAGCCCCUAGGUGCCAGAGUAGCCCUAGGG